rnacentral:rRNA from 1 species
UCAGAACGAACGCUGGCGGCAGGCUUAACACAUGCAAGUCGAGCGCCCCGCAAGGGGAGCGGCAGACGGGUGAGUAACGCGUGGGAACGUACCCUUUGCUACGGAAUAGCUCCGGGAAACUGGAAUUAAUACCGUAUGUGCCCUUCGGGGGAAAGAUUUAUCGGCAAAGGAUCGGCCCGCGUUGGAUUAGCUAGUUGGUGGGGUAAAGGCCUACCAAGGCGACGAUCCAUAGCUGGUCUGAGAGGAUGAUCAGCCACAUUGGGACUGAGACACGGCCCAAACUCCUACGGGAGGCAGCAGUGGGGAAUAUUGGACAAUGGGCGCAAGCCUGAUCCAGCCAUGCCGCGUGAGUGAUGAAGGCCCUAGGGUUGUAAAGCUCUUUCACCGGAGAAGAUAAUGACGGUUCCGA